AUGCACUGGAAAAGAGCAUCCUCUGGAAAAAGAGGAAAAAUCAGAGUCACAGCCUAUCAGACUGGUAGCCUCUCCCCCUUCUCUCCCACCUGCAGUCUCCCAGACAAAUUCGUUUGCUACCUGAGCCCCUCUGCAGUGAGCAACCUGAGCAGAGACGAGGCUUUAAGCUUGGCCCACAGGAUCACCAAGAACUGCCCGUUGAAAGUGACACACAGAGGAAUAAACGGAGAGCGAGCUCCCUCCUUCCUGACAACAGAGGAACUGCAGGUUGCAUCUUCUUUGGUGAGCAAGUUUGAGCGUUUCACUCCUGCAAUCCUGCAUGAAUUGGGCCAGGUUGCUGUUGGGCUGUCUGUAUCCGACAUCGAAAAUAAAAUAAGUGAUGAAGACCUUGAAGCAUCUCUUCCUGCCCUGGGUGAAGUUCGUGGCUGGAAUGCUGACCAGUCCAGUGCUAUUAUCAAUAAACUGCUCCGCUCUGGCUAUCAGAUUUCAGAUGGACAGAGCCUGGCAAAGCUGGGGAGCUUGGUGGCUGGCCUCAGCAGCAGCACGCUUCGAAGUCUCCCUCCAGAAGUGAUCUUGGAAGCCAUUAAGUUGCCUGAGUUUGUCCAGCAGUUGGUGACCCUGCCCUCUGCUCUGAAAAGGACAUUUGUGGAAAUGGUGAAAUUGUUUUUCUCUAUGGACGUCACAAAUUAGCAAAGCUCCCAUGACUCACAGCCAAGAACACUGGUUACCUGGGGCCAGGCAUUGGCACAUACCUGCACACACACACACGGCAUUCCCUUGGGGGUAUUUGUCAUUGCUAACCGAGUGUGCAGCAGGACAGGCAUCCCACGUCCCUAUCCCUGGACCCGUGUAGAUGUCCUUGGCUGCCAGCCAGCGUGACCUGCCAAGCCUCUUAGGGCCUGGGGCAGGAGAGAGAGUUUUUCUACAGGGUAUACCUGGAAGCUACUCCCCACUGAGCUGAUAAGAUGCUGUCAGGGAAAGGUUAUUGCCAUGGUUUGGGGUGAGACUGUGUGAGAAGUGAGGGCUGUUCUCAGGAAGCCCCUUUUAGGACAGACUCUAGCAAUGCACUAUACCAUUUCCCAGUGUGACUGUACAGGUCUUGGACUUCUUUUCCCACUUUUCCCAGCCAUGACUUUCACUUUCAAGUUGCAUGUGCAGCAUUUGAAUUUGUUGUUAUUCGUCCUCCCUCCUGUAGGAAAGCCACUGACCCGUGUUUGGUAUAGCCUGUAGCAUGUACUGGGGCAAUGGGGCUGUCAGGGUUGUGUGUGAUGCCUUAGGGAGGUAACAUCUUCACCAAAGGAUUGCUCUGCAACGUGCCUUCUGGAGUUAAGAUGUUGUUUGGGUUGUCAGAGAGGGAAGAAGUGUCUCUCCUUUCUGACCUACUAAAGGUUUUUAGGGCAUAAAGCCAGGAGCCGAGACAGAAUCAUCCCCUUUCAUCAGAGCCUCAACUGUUAGCUCCAUGCAGCUCUCCUAGUCUGAUGCAUGUGUCAAACAGGAAAUAUUUCAUAUUAGGUCUUUGACAAAUGCCCAGAUGAUCAACAGAGGAAUUCCCCUGGCCUCUUUCCAAAUUUUCAUUUCAUCAACAGAAAUUAUUUUAGAAUUGUUUAUUUCUAUGUAUAUGUGUGAAUAUACGUAUGGUUU
rnacentral:lncRNA from 1 species